UACGUAGGCAGCAAGCGUUGUUCGGAGUUACUGGGCGUAAAGGGUGCGUAGGCGGCCUUUUAAGUUUGUCGUGAAAUCUCCCGGCUCAACUGGGAGGGUGCGGCGGAUACUGAAAGGCUGGAGUGCGGGAGAGGAGAGUGGAAUUCCUGGUGUAGCGGUGAAAUGCGUAGAUAUCAGGAGGAACACCGGCGGUGUAGACGGCUCUCUGGACCGUAACUGACGCUGAGGCACGAAAGCGUGGGUAGCAAACAGG
rnacentral:rRNA from 1 species